GGAUCAUAUGGUUUUUAUCCUUCAGUUUGUUAAUGUGGUGUAUCACACUGAUGGAUUUGUGGAUAUUGAAGAACCCUUGCAUCCCUGGGAUAAAUCCCACUUGAUCAUGAUGUACAAUCCUUUUAAUGUAUUGUUGGAUGCGUUUUGCUAGUAUUUUGUUGAGGAUUUUUGCAUCAAUGUUCAUCAGUGAAAUUUGCCUGUAGUUUUCUUUUUCUGUGGUAUCUUUGUCUGGUUUUGGUAUCAGGGUGAUGGUGGCCUCAUAGAAGGAGUUUGGGAGAAUCCCUUCUUCUGCAAUUUUUUGGAAUAGUUUCAGAAGGAUAGGUGUUAGCUCUUCUCUAAAUGUUUGAUAGAAUUCACCUGUGAAGCCAUCUUGUCCUGGACUUUUGUUUGUUGGCAGUUUUUUAAUCACAGUUUCAAUUUCAGUUCUUGUGAUUGGUCCAUUCAUCUUUUCUAUUUCAUCUUGGUUUAGUCUUGGAAGAUAGAUUCAUGGAGCAAAAUUUGUGUGCAUAUUUUCAAAUGUGUGUAUUUGUGGAUGCCGUUUCCUUCAUUUGAAAAUAUAUUUGAUGGAAAUAAAAGAUAGCAUUUUUCCCCAACUUUAUUGAGAUAUAGUGAUAUACAACAUUGUGUAAUUUUAAGAUGUGUAAUGUGAUGAUUUGAUAUAUUUAUACACUGCAAGAUAAUCACAUCAUGGUAUUAGUGAAUACCCCCAUUCCUUCAUCAUAUAAACACCAUUUCUUUUUGUGGCAAUAACAUAAAAGAUCUACUCUCUUUUAUAACUAGGAAAAUAUAUAAAUAUAUUUCAAUGCUUCAGUUCUUUAUAUGAGUUCCUGACAACUAUAUCAUAGAGAUAAUGUCAAUUGAAAAUUACUCAGUUUGUAGGAAGUGUUUCAUCCAGGCUAAGGGAUCCAACUGCAAGUAUUGACACAAAGAGAAUUCAUUGUCUCUAUGUGCAUGGGCAGUACAGAUUGUCCUUGUUUAAUGUCUGAAGUUUAUUGCUGGUAUAAUAAAUUUUCAUUAUAUUUCAUUUACAGUAAGGAAAUAUAUAGUAAAGAAAUAAAACAUUGCUCAUUUGAAUCUCCUAUAAAUGAAAGAUGACAUACUAUUUCCUGAGGUACUUAUAAAGAAUGUAUAAUGAAAGUAGACCAUGCUUUAAGUGAUAGGUUCAAAACAGUAGUUAAUGUUCCUUAACCAAGGCUACAAGUAUACAGUUAGCAGAAGGUUUUAAAAGUACAAAGCAAAGCAAAGAAAGAAACAAAUGAGUCAACACAUGUGAAUAGAGUAAAAUUCUUAAAAAUGUACUUUUGAUUCCACAUGUAGUUGAAAAAAAUUAUUCUCAUUAAACGGGAUAAACAAAGAAAAAUAUUAUAAAUAACAAUUAAUCAUAAUGGAAAAUGAAGAUCAGAUAUCCUUCACUUGAUUAUCCAACCUAAGUAUUCUUUAAUUGUGGAUUAAUAAUUGAUUUGGUUAGAAUAUUGAUGAAUUAACAAACAGCAAAUAAGAGAAAUUUAUCUUUAUCUAUUUUCCUGCUUUUUAUAAGUUUAUUGUAUGGGAGUUCCCAUUGUAGCUCAGUGGGUUAUGAACCUAACUAGUAUCCAUGAGGUUAUAGGUUUGAUCCCUGGCCUCACUCAGUGGGUUAAGGAUCCAACAUGGCCGUGAGCUGUGGUGUAGGUCACAGAUGAGGCUCAGAUCCAGUGUUGCCGUGACUGUGGCAUAGGCUAGCAGCUACAGUUCCAAUUCGACCCCUAGCCUGGAAACUUCCAUUUGCCUCAGGUACAGCCCUAAAAAUAGAAAUAAAUAAAUAGAUUCUAUCUUAUCUUUGUUAAAAUAACACUGUGAAAUGGAAAUGUAGAUGACAUGGAAAUAAUGUUUCAUUACUAAGAGAGUGAAGGGAAUGAUGGUAUGUUUCUGUCCUUCUGUGGUCAGGAAGACAAUAGUGAGCCUAAAACCAGUGCUGGCUAAAAGGCAACUUAAAAUGUUAGGUUGAUCAGUGAACAUUAAACAGACCAAUAUUAGGAAUACCUGUAACUUUAAAAACGAUAAUUUCUUACUCUAACUUCAGAAUCCUUUCUGUAUCGUUUAAGCACAAAAUGAGAUCCAGUUCUAUGAAAAAUUUUACUAGUAUGAGACAUGACAUUCUGUUUUAAUUAUAAUUGUAUGUUCUAGACAUCUCUCCAAUAUUAGCACACUAGGCCUACCUCACUCUUUCUAAUAGCCAUGUAAUAGCCCAGUGUGUAGAAAUGCUAAAAUUAUAUUUUACUGUUCCAUUACUCUUGGGAAUUUAAAAUAGUUCAAUUUAGUUACUAUAGUUUUAAAUGGUACAAAUUGUAUACUUAUGCAUAUAUACAUAUGCACAUACACAGAUAUAUCUAUACAUACUGUAUAGAUAUAAAUGUAUACAUAUGUAAUGUGUGUGUAUAUAUAUAUUUAUAUAUAUAUAUACACACUUGAGUAAUUGUAUCUGUAAAGAAACUUUCUCAAGCACAGAAUUAUAAGUGUGUAUAUGUAUGUAUAUAUAACAUGCAUGUAUUUAUAUAUAAAAUAUAAUGUGCAUAUAUAUAUGUUUAUGUACACACAUACUUGAGCAAUUAUAUCUACAAAGACAAUUGCUGAGUAGAAUUACUCUACUGAAGGAUAUGCAUAUGUUACAUUUUAGAAAUAUUUUUAUGGUCAAAUUACUUUGUCUUUGUUGUCAUGUACACAAAUCCUGCUUCACUCCAAGAUUAAACAAAACAAAAAGACCCCAGCUUUGUUCUGGUGUUUUAUGGCUUCAACUUUCAUGUUUGAUUUUUUGAUGCAGGUUGAAUUUACUGUGGAGAGGGAAAUGAGUGGAAUAUAAAGUUACAGUGAGAAAAUCAACACUUAAAUGGUUAAAUACUUUUUGCUCAUAGUCACAGUCCUGCAAAAUCUAAGACAGCGGUGGUCAUAGACUGUGUGAGAAUAAGAGCACAAAAACCUAUUUUAAAAUAAUGUAAUCAAUACUUGCUACGCUCUAGAUAUUUCAGUUGGUCAUUUAUCUUAGUUAUUUAAUCAAAAGAGACUGUGUUUUUAGAAUUAUUAAUUUUUGAGGCAUAGCUAAUAGGCUUCUCAUCAAACAAGAAUGUUCAAGGAAGAGUCAAAUAGAACUGAUAGUUUGACUCACCAGUACACUCUGUACUGAAUUGUACUGUGGGGAAGAUUGUAAUCCAAAACCAUCUCUAAAAUAUUAACAGAGUCCAAAAUUCAAAGAACGGAAAGGCAAUCUAAGGGGCCAGGAGGGUAAAAAACAGUGUUUGAAACAAAAGAAGUGUGAUGCAGAAUGAGGCUGAGUUCCUUUGCAUAAUGUUUAGAGAGAGGGACCUGAUAGUUUAAUCAAGUAGGAUGAAAAAGCACAGUUUUUUUGAAAAGAAGACAAAACCUAUAUCCAGGACAAACUGAUAUACCAUGUUGUGAGAUGCGGAGGAUUCAUAGAAGGACUUAACAUUAGGAAUCUAGGAUGGAGCCCAUUGUGUUAGAGCUCUCACUGCUACUUUUGUGCUUUCUGCUGGGGAGCUCUUAAAGGCAAUUGAAAGGGCAAGAGACAUAUUUAAAAAUAAUUACUUGCAAGAAUUUCUUCUGGCGUCAGUAUCAAAUGGACUAGGGGAGAGGGAUCAAUAAAGCAAUGGAGAUUGUUAUGGAAUUUUAGUUUUCCACAACACAACUCCAUUCUGUGGGUCCAAGGCUCUCAUCUGUUAGAUGAGAAACUUAGAAAGUUGUCAUGCUUAGCAUUUGAAUUUCAUUUAAAGAAUUGUCAGAUCAUUGAAGAAAGAAACUCUGAAAAACAUGUUCUUCAUUUCUAAUACUUAGUGCAAACUCUGGAACUGACAUGCAUCACUUGGAGAUAAUUAAAAGCAAAGACUCCCCAUGACUUUGUGGGAUAGAUCCCCAGAUAUGGACAGUGCCAUCACUUGGAGUACUUGAGUUUGACAUGACAGCUGCCAGGUGUUACAAGCUUACUUGUUUUAAAAAGGGAAGGGGAUGAAAAGGAAGAACCUGCACAAAUGAAGCAGAACAGAGUCUGCCAGCAGAAAAUGCCUGCCUUACAUUUCCGUAAAGUAAAUUCCAGCUGUUCUAAGGAUGAGACAACCUAUUUUGGUACACAUGAAUUAUAAUGUUCCCAAACCCAUAGUUCUCAAAAAUCACUCAUAUACCCCUCAGGUAUUUGAGAAGCUGUAGGACUCUCGCCAAGCUCCUGAGAAUGAGCAGUUGGUGUUUGACUGAUUGAAAUCGCCACAUCUAAGAUCCACUCCAUAGUUCUUUUUUUUAUUAGAAAAUAUGAUUCUGAAGCGAUCAGUGAUCUUCCUUUUCACAUGUUAAUUGACCUUCUUCAUUUAGUUAUCAAAUCUAGGCUGGAACGAAGAAGAGGAUGUUGCCUUAAUUUUCAUGAUUUUUGGCAUGUUUUUGCAAAAGUGCUUAUUCGUAAAGGUAAAAUUAAUUAUUUGGUUUAUAAUGCAUGCCUUGUGCAUGGAUUCAUGAGGAUGGAAAGAUAACCUCAGUCUUUCACUAAUAUUCAGUAUGUAAUUCUCACCUAAAAUCUUCUCCUCUUCCUGUUUUUCCACAUUAGUAAAUGUUACCAUUAUCUGACCAGUUGUUCCUGCGAAGAAACUUGGAAUUUUGGAUACUUAUAGUUGAUCAUACAAGCUUCAAAAAUUUGCUUGCCCUCAUAGGACCCCAUUGAAGCAGCAGUGAAAUAAUUUUUAAAGGAUAUAAUUAAUCCCCAGUGUACACUAAGGUGACCGAGUGCCCUUUGCACAUGAGAGCUUUGAAUAUGUUUCUAAAAGUAAAAAAGGGGGUGGAAUAAUGGUAACCAAUGAAUCAGUGAGGAAUGUUGGCAGCUUAUUAUUCAAGAAAAGUUACACGCAACUUAAGAAAUAGUCUAUCCUGUUGACCUCAAGAAUUUGUGACUCAAGGUGGAUUUGAAGGAGAUCAAUGGUAAGACAUGAGACUGCAAAGAUGUUAAUUGAAAGACUAUUUUUGGAAUAGUUGAUCCUUCCAUUAUGAAGGCUGAUUUUUCAGCAGCCAGGGAUCUAACACACCAGAGGAAAAAUUUAUGUGAAAGGUGGAGGGGUAGGGAUUGCUUUUCUAAGGAAAAUAAACAAAUGAAUUGGGAAGAUCUAUAACACCUAUCAAAAUUUUCUUGAAAACAAAGAUCACUACAAACUGGUAUUUUGUAUUUUCCUCAAAAACAAAAAACAGCCAAAAAUUUGGUUCCUUGCCCAGUCACCCAAAAGCAAAAGCUUUCUCCCUUCCAGUCCACCUUCCCCACCAUGUUAUGUAGAGUGCCCAAGCAGCUUUUUGUUGUCUUACUACUAAACGUGUAUGGAAAACCAAGUGUCAGCCAACAUUUGCAGCCAGAAAGCAAUAUGAAAACAAAGAUUCCAAAGAAGUAAUUUUUAAAAACAGUACAAAAAACAAAAUAGAGGCAAUAACUCAAAACAACUUCUUUUUAGUUUCCAGUUACAAUUCUAGAAGAUAAUGCGGUCAUGAAAAAAAGGAAACAUGUUGUUGUGAAAAUGAAAUGAUCACAGAAAAGGGGAAAACAGCUGAAUAAUCGAAAGUAAAAUGCCCAAAGUUAUUCCUUGGAAGGUCAAAGGUAGAAAAAUUAUUCUCCUAGAGAGUAGAACAAAAGAAUAAGAAGCAAUAAAAAAACAUAAAACAGGAUAAUCCUGCAGGUUCAAAUUUUUAUGCAUAGGAUACAAUGUUCAGAUUGACAGGUUCAACCAAAUACACAGUUCACAUAUUCAAUCUGUGAUUGUGAAAUUGUAGGAAUCAAAACAGAAAGCGCUUGCCCCAAAGAGAAAACUUAAAAGAACAAGGAAAAUACUAGCAUCAGAUAUCUUAUCAGGAAUCUAGAUUCUGGAAGACAGUGAACAAGAUAUUCAAAGCUCUAAGAAAUUCUAUAAUUAACCUGUAUUCUAUACCUAGAUAAACUAUUUCAAUAUGAUGGUAAAAUAAAGAUCCUUUUACACAUGGAAAGGCCCAGAAAAUUUACCUCCAAAGUACAUUUACAAAGGAAGUCACUAGUAAAUGAAAGGAUAGAACCAAGAAAUAGGAGGGUAUGUAGUCUGGGAAACAGUGAAACCAAGUGUUCAGUGGGGAAAUUCUACCCAAGGUGAAAUUACAACAAUUGGCUUAAAGAACAUCUAAUUCAUAAUGGAGCCAAAAAGAAUCCUCUGGAAAGGAGGCAUCC
rnacentral:lncRNA from 1 species